rnacentral:tRNA from 1 species
CCGGGGGUAGCGCAGCGGCAGGCGCACCGCCGUACGCAGGGCGGACACGCCGGUUCGAAUCCGGCCGCCCGGG